rnacentral:rRNA from 1 species
UACGUAGGCAGCGAGCGUUGUUCGGAAUUACUGGGCGUAAAGAGUGUGUAGGCGGUGCUCUAAGUUCGGUGUGAAAUCUCCCGGCUUAACUGGGAGGGUGCGCCGGAAACUGGAGUGCUCGAGCGUGGGAGAGGAAAGCGGAAUUCCUGGUGUAGCGGUGAAAUUCGUAGAUAUUCGGAAGAACACCAGUGGCGAAGGCGACUCACUGGCCCAUUACUGACGCUGAGGCGCGAAAGCGUGGGGAGCAAACAGG